rnacentral:rRNA from 1 species
AACGCGAAGAACCUUACCAGGGCUUGACAUGCACGGUGCAGCCGUAGAGAUACGGUGUCCUUUGGGGUCGUGCACAGGUGGUGCAUGGUUGUCGUCAGCUCGUGUCGUGAGAUGUUGGGUUAAGUCCCGCAACGAGCGCAACCCUCGUCCUGUAUUGCCAGCAGCAUCUUCGGAUGGCUGGGGACUUGCGGGAGACUGCCGGGGUCAACUCGGAGGAAGGUGGGGAUGACGUCAAAUCAUCAUGCCCCUUAUGUCCUGGGCUGCACGCAUGCUACAAUGGCCGGUACAGAGGGCUGCGAUACCGUGAGGUGGAGCGAAUCCCGUAAAGCCGGUCUCAGUUCGGAUCGGGGUCUGCAACUCGACCCCGUGAAGUCGGAGUCGCUAGUAAUCGCAGAUCAGCAACGCUGCGGUGAAUACGUUCCCGGGCCUUGUA